UUGACCUCGGAUCAGGUAGGAAUACCCGCUGAACUUAAGCAUAUCAAUAAGCGGAGGAAAAGAAACCAACAGGGAUUGCCUCAGUAACGGCGAGUGAAGCGGCAACAGCUCAAAUUUGAAAUCUGGCCCCCAGGCCCGAGUUGUAAUUUGUAGAGGAUGCUUCUGGCGACGCGCCUUCCGAGUUCCCUGGAACGGGACGCCAAAGAGGGUGAGAGCCCCGUCCGGUCGUGCGCCUAGCCUCUGUGAAGCUCCUUCGACGAGUCGAGUAGUUUGGGAAUGCUGCUCUAAAUGGGAGGUAUACGUCUUCUAAAGCUAAAUACCGGCCAGAGACCGAUAGCGCACAAGUAGAGUGAUCGAAAGAUGAAAAGCACUUUGAAAAGAGGGUUAAAUAGUACGUGAAAUUGCUGAAAGGGAAGCGCUUAUGACCAGACUUGGGCUUGGUGAAUCAUCCGGCGUUCUCGCCGGUGCACUUUGCCGGUCCAGGCCAGCAUCAGUUCGCUCCGGGGGAUAAAGGCUUCGGGAAUGUAGCUCCUCCGGGAGUGUUAUAGACCGUUGCGCAAUACCCUGGGGUGGACUGAGGUACGCGUUCUGCAAGGAUGCUGGCGUAAUGGUCAUCAGUGACCCGUC
rnacentral:rRNA from 1 species